rnacentral:rRNA from 1 species
GACGAACGCUGGCGGCGUGCUUAACACAUGCAAGUCGAACGGAAAGGCCCUGCUUUUGUGGGGUGCUCGAGUGGCGAACGGGUGAGUAACACGUGAGUAACCUGCACUUGACUUUCGGAUAACUUCACGAAACUCGGGCUAAUACCGGAUAGGAGCUCCUGCUGCACGGUGGGGGUUGGAAAGAUUCGGCGGUUGUGGAUAGACUCGCGGCUUAUCAGCUUGUUGGUGGGGUAGUGGCUUACCAAGGCUUUGACGGGUAGCCGGCCUGAGAGGGUGACCGGCCACCUUGGGACUGAGAUAGGGACCAGAAGCGUACGGGAGGCAGCAGUGGAGAAUAUUGCGCAAUGGGCGGGAGCCUGAUGCGGCAACGCCGCGUGCGUGAUGCCGGCCUUCGGGUUGUAAACCGCUUUCGCCUGUGACGAAGCGUGCGUGACGGUAAUGGAUAAAGAAGCACCGGCUAACUACGUG